AUUUUAGUCAUCUCAUAUAGUUCUUAUGAGUCCGUUUCUUGAAGAAGAUCAUUGUGUGAGUGAAAGAAGAAAUUAUUAUCCUCCCAUUGCCAGACUGGAAUGCCUCAAAAAUAAGAAGGAAAGAUCUACUAACUGUCAACAUCUAUUUAAAGACUCCUUCUGCAUGGACCAUUUGUAGAACCAUUAUAGCAGGUUUAAUUGGAAUCGGCAGCCUAAGGAAGUGGUGGAGUCACUGCCCCUGGAGAUCUUCAAGAAACCUAGAGUUGUGACAGUGAGGGACAUGGUUUAUUGGGCAUGGUGGUGAUGGGUUGACAGUUGGACUAGAUUAUGUUAGUGGUCUUUUAUAACGUUAACUAUUCUAAAAAUGAAAGUUUCAGAUUGCCUUGCCUUAUAUUUUUUUAAAAUGUAAAUUCAGUUUUGUCUAGAACUCUUUUUUUUCUUCAGAAAAUGUGGACCAAUAGACUGCAUCCAGGUAGUCUUUCACUGUGUGUGUGUUUUAUUGCUUUUGCACCGAGGUUCUCAGGCAUGAAGUAGCUGUGAAAGAAAAAUUCAUGUGACUGAGGUUGAUUUUAAUUGCCAAUAGGUUCUUACUGUCCUAAUAGAUUAGUCACCUAACACCAGCUACAGAAGAGAAUAACCAACUCUUUUGUAUACAGCUAUUCACACAAAAAGAAGAGCAAUACUUUAAGGAAAAUAUUUUUCUCAUUUGCAAAUGCUGUGUUUUCCAUCAAGUUUUUACUUUUAAACUGUAGAAGAGAUUUUAUAAACUACCAAAAAAAAAAAAAAACAAAAAAAAAACAAACAAAAAAAAAAAAAAACAACCAAAAAACCCAGCAAUUAAUGUAAUUACUCUGAUGUGGAAGAGUUCUGGAAUGAAUUGCCAAGUCCUACUGUGGCAUCUAAGUCCAUUUUCAGAUAUAAAACGUGGCUCUCACGAUGACUUUUUCUCCAUGUAGUAAGGAAAGUUUCUCUGUCUGUUGGAAUUGAAUAAUGAAUUCAGACCACACGGUUAUUGCUCAGAGAGAUAUAUCUUACAGUCUUACUCCUAUGAAUGGGUCUUUCCUGUCUCCUCACCCUUUCUGUCUGAAGAUAUAUAUCAUUUACAUGGCUUAUUUUUUACUUGUAGAUUGAAACUAUAUUAACAUAUUAUCCUGUUCAAUCUUGCUUUAUAGGAUGACGUUGCUAUGCCAAGACUUAUUCGUGGUUUUCCUGCUUUAGAAUGCAUAUGCAAGCCCCCCUUUACACUUUGAGAAACAAUUAAUGCAAUCCAAAAUGAGAGGAAACUAGAUGGUUUUAUUCAGACUAAUCUCCCCUUAUCUAUAUGCUGGAUCAUAUGCUGGACUUAUUUUACCUGAUAAAAUUAAAGAAACCUUAAGAUUUUUUUUCACUUGCUGCAGCCAUUUUGAAAAUCAGGCAUAAGAAAAGCAAGUGGUUAACCCAUCAUUUGUCAUUUUGCUAUGUUCAAACUGUAAGAAGAAUUCUAUUUUUUUAACACUGGUAAUAUUGAAAAUCAAUUCAGAGUGGAUUGAUUCCUUUCCUCCCUUUGAUUCCAGAAAUCUUUUUGUUCCUUAGUGUCCCUUGUGGUUGGCUGUCAUGCAGAGGACAGAAAAUUUGAUUUUUAUCAUAUGGAAUGCUUCAGGCUUAGGAGCUUCCUGAUGUAUGAAUUAAAUGAACUUAGUCCAUCAGCAGAUCAGUCAGUCAUACACUGAUGCACGCUAUUAUUCUUAAACAUAUCCUUCUUAAACAUGUAACAGUAGCCAUGUACCUAGGAGCACAAAAUAAUAACUUACUUUUCAGAUCUUAGCAUCCAAAAAAAGUCAGCAUAACAUACAGAAGAUAAAUAUUCUAGUAUCUGCAAUGACUGCCAACCUGUGCUUUUAAACAAAUCAAUUGUAGAACAAACUCAAGUUUUUUUUUUAUUUUUGGGAGAUAAAAGCUACAAUUUCAUGUAAACUUGACUUCCAAUGCUUUGAAGAAAAAUAGAGAAACACCACUAAACAUUACGAGCUUUCAGUAAAAUUAUGGGUGCCAUCUAAGUUAGAAGUGCAGUAACUGAUUGUAUUUUUUUUUCUCCCUAAGUUACUAGCCUUUAAACUAAUAUAAAAGAUGCUCAGCUUUUGUACGGAUAAAUUAGUCAUCAGAAAUAGCUGCCUAAUUAGGAAGAAGUGUUCCUAGCAGCUGAAGUAUGAACAGCUGCAGAUAAUGUUACUGUGUACUUCAGGUGGUUUAACCAAUUUAUUCUUCCCUUCAUGCUUUAGCACAGUAUAGAAAAUACUUUGAGGAGAAUAACAGAUAAUGUAGAUAAAUACUGUAUAAAUUUUUAUCAUUCAAAAGUUUUGUCUCUAAGCAAAUUAUCUUUGAAAUCUCUAAACAAUACUAUGUUAAUGA